UACGUAGGGGGCAAGCGUUGUCCGGAUUUAUUGGGCGUAAAGAGCGUGUAGGCGGUCUGGUAGGUCCGUUGUGAAAACUCGAGGCUCAACCUCGAGACGCCGAUGGAAACCCUCAGACUAGAGUCCGGAAGAGGAGAGUGGAAUUCCCAGUGUAGUGGUGAAAUACGUAGAGAUUGGGGAGAACACCAGUGGCGAAGGCGGCUAUCUGGACGGUUUCUGACGCUAAGACGCGAAAGCGUGGGGAGCAAACAGG
rnacentral:rRNA from 1 species